GACGAAGGGGGCUAGCGUUGUUCGGAAUUACUGGGCGUAAAGGGCUCGUAGGCGGCCAACUAAGUCCGACGUGAAAUCCCCAGGCUUAACCUGGGAACUGCGUCGGAUACUGGAUGGCUUGAAUUCGGGAGAGGGAUGCAGAAUUCCAGGUGUAGCGGUGAAAUGCGUAGAUAUCUGGAGGAAUACCGGUGGCGAAGGCGACAUCCUGGACCGGUAUUGACGCUGAGGCGCGAAAGCCAGGGGAGCAAACGGGG
rnacentral:rRNA from 1 species